rnacentral:rRNA from 1 species
ACAGUUGGAAACGACUGCUAAUACCGCAUACGCCCUACGGGGGAAAGCAGGGGACCUUCGGGCCUUGCGCGAUUGGAUAUGCCCAGGUGGGAUUAGCUAGUUGGUGAGGUAAUGGCUCACCAAGGCGACGAUCCCUAGCUGGUCUGAGAGGAUGAUCAGCCACACUGGAACUGAGACACGGUCCAGACUCCUACGGGAGGCAG